rnacentral:lncRNA from 1 species
AAGAGCAGAAAUGGGAAGACUUGGUUGUGCAGUAACUGAGUUCUUGAAAAGAGGAGAUGCUUGAUGAGGGCAUGGAUCACUAAGGUCUGUUCCCAAUACAAGAAGACUCUUUGACAUCAUAAUAAAAUACUGCAGAUACGAUGCUGAGUGAAAAAGAGUAGAAAUGGGAAGACUUGGUUGUGCAGAAACUGAGUUCUUAAAGAGAGGAGAUACUUUAUGAGGGCAUGGAAAGCUAAGGUCUUUCCAGAAUACUACAAGAGUACUUGAUAGCAUAAUAAAACACUAUAGAUAUGAUGCUGAGUGAGUAAGAGUAGAAAUGGGAAGACUUGGUUGUGCAGAAACUAAGUUAUUAAAAGGAGGAGAUGCUUGAUGAGGCCCAACUCUCAUUCUGUCACCCAGGCUGGAGUGCACUGGAGCAAUCUUGGCUGGCCAAUACUGAGUUCUUGAAAACAGGAGAUGCUUGAUGAGGAUGGGAUCAUCUAGUUGCAGGAAAACAAGGCUCAGGGUGCCUACUGAUUCUACAUUAUGUUGCAGGGCUUUGACUCCUGGGUACAUGUAUCUCAUCUGAAAGGGAAUCCUGACACCUACUGAAUCUUAACAGUCAAUAUUGAUAUCUGGCAUCAAAUUCAAGUUGACCAAAGUUCCAUCUUCAGACCUGGGAGAAGAUGACAGUCAAAAUGAACUGCUUUCAUGUGACACUGGACCAGGCCUAUAUACAAAGGCAUAAGUAAUCAUUGAGUAAUGUUUCAUCUAUCUAUCUUAAUAUAAUUUGUUCUAUGCCUUACUAGAUAAAUGUUUAGUUACCUGUGAGUUUUCUUUUCCUGCCAUUGUCAGAGCUAGGCAGGGCUUAAGUCCCUUUUGUUUAAACAUUACUAACUCUAUACAUAGCUUGCAAAAUUGGAUAAAACAACAAAGGUUACUUUUUCACUCUCUCUCUGCUUAAUAUCUCUGAAAUUUAAAACUAUUCAGAAUCCCAUUGGGCCCGAUCUAUUUUCAAUGCUAAUGCUCCACUGCUAAAACUAUAUAAGCAUCUUCCCUCUAGGCUCAGGCACUAUCUUGGAAGAGGUAAAUGUGUAAGAUUGUAAAGGUUGAUUUUUGAGCAACAAAAUUAAUUUAGAUCUUCCAAAUAAAAAAUGGGCACACAGAUGCCCAAACAGUUGGCAAAAUAAGAUACUUUACCUCCUGGACCAGUAUGUGGUCCUUUUUCAUCCAUCCCAACCAUAAUUUCCUCUUUCCUGUAGAAUUAAAAGAAAAUUGCAAAGAGGAUAUGAACUUAUCUGGUAACAAAACCUCCUGGGUAUAGUGCUCCCAGUUAUGAGAUUUAUGCAGAUUGUUAUAUAAAGUUUUUUAAAAUCAAGCACCUUAGGACAAACUAUUAAAAAGAUUGCUAAAAGCGUUGUGACACAACAAAAGUCUCUAAAUUCUGUAGCUUAAAAAGUUUUAACAAAGUACUUAUCUUUUGCAAGCUAAUUGCUACAAGUCUAUAACUAAAACAUGUAUUGACUGAUGUCUUAGGUCUCCCUAAAAUAUAUAAAACCAAGUUGUAAACCAAUCACCUUGGGCACAUGUUCUCAGGACCUCUGGAGACUGUGCCUUGGGCCAUGGUCACUCAUAUUUGGCUGAGAAUAAAAUUUA